GCCAGAGUGGCAUAGUGGUUUGAGUGUAGGAUUAGGACUCUGGAGAACAGGAUUCGAUUCCCUGGCUGGCC